rnacentral:rRNA from 1 species
CACGUAGGGGGCAAGCGUUGUCCGGAUUUAUUGGGCGUAAAGAGCUCGUAGGUGGCUUAGUAAGUCGGGUGUGAAACCUCCAGGCUCAACCUGGAGACGCCACCCGAUACUGCUAUAGCUUGAGUCCGGUAGGGGAGCGUGGAAUUCCUGGUGUAGCGGUGAGAUGCGCAGAUAUCAGGAGGAACACCGAUGGCGAAGGCAGCCUCCUGGGCCAACACUGACGCUCAUGCACGAAAGCGUGGGGAUCAAACAGG